rnacentral:lncRNA from 1 species
UAAAUUGCAGAAUCUCUAAUUAUCCAUCACCCAUGUCUCCAUUCUUCUAAAAAAUCACUGAGGGUGCUGCAAAUCUUGCUGAGAAUGAUUGAGAUGCAUGAUCAGUGUCCUUUGUUUUUGGUUAUUGUUCAUUGUCUUCCUCGUUUCUCCUUCACCUUAUCCAUUCUUCUUCCUCAUUUUCUUCAUCAUAGAACCACACUAGAUUCUCACCCACUACUCUUUUAUAUCCACCUUCGAUCAACCAAUUUGCACUUGUUUAUUACAUAUUUUUUCCCAAAC